UACGUAGGGGCAAGCGUUGUCCGGAAUCAUUGGGCGUAAAGCGCGUGUAGGCGGUUCGAUAAGUCUGCUGUGAAAGUCCAGGGCUCAACCCUGGAAAGCCGGUGGAUACUGUCGGACUAGAGUGCGGAAGAGGCGAGUGGAAUUCCCGGUGUAGUGGUGGAAUGCGUAGAUAUCGGGAGGAAUACCAGUGGCGAAAGCGGCACCCUAGCAUUUUCUGACGCUCAUGUGCGAAAGCGUGGGGAGCGAACGGG
rnacentral:rRNA from 1 species